AUGAACGCUAGCGGCAGGCCUAAUACAUGCAAGUCGAACGGUAACAGGUGUAGCAAUACAUGCUGACGAGUGGCGCACGGGUGCGUAACACGUAUGCAACUUUCCUUCAACUGGUGAAUAGCCCCUCGAAAGAGGGAUUAAUACACCAUAAUAUAAUGAGAUGGCAUCAUCUUAUUAUUAAAACUCCGGUGGUUGAAGAUGGGCAUGCGCAACAUUAGCUAGUUGGUGAGGUAAUGGCUCACCAAGGCUACGAUGUUUAGGGUUCUAAGAGGAUUAACCCCACACUGGUACUGAGACACGGACCAGACUCCUACGGGAGGCAGCAGUAAGGAAUAUUGGACAAUGGUGGCAACACUGAUCCAGCCAUGCCGCGUGCAGGAUGAAGGCCCUAUGGGUUGUAAACUGCUUUUAUACGGGAAAAACCUCUCUACGUGUAGAGAGCUGAUGGUACCGUAAGAAUAAGGAUCGGCUAACUCCGUG
rnacentral:rRNA from 1 species